UCGAAGGAGAGAGAAAGGGCAGAUAAUUGGACUAGAGUUAAACUUCUCCUUUUGUCCAUAGGACAAAAAAAAUAUUUAAAUAAUAAACAAAAUUCCAAUGUUCUUUUAUUUUCUUAUUUUUGUAUUUUUAGUGGAAUACCAACUUCAUGUACACUUGGCUUAUUCAGCACCCAUAAAAUUCAAUGGACCACCAUCCGGACAAAAGGAUAAAAACAGAACACAUCAAGAUAAUGAAUUUUCUUCAAACUACUGAGGUACAAUGAAAAAUGGAAAUAUUAUCUCAGAAAUUACAACAGAGGGAUGAAGAUAUAGCAUAUGCUGUACCUAAAAGAUACAUCAAAUGGGACAUUGGGAAUAUGGAUUGAUGAAAUUUAAUUUGCGAUUGUCCUAUAAUGCCUUUUCAUUACAGUACCACACAAAUUGAGGCAAUAAAUGUAUAUUUGAUCAAAAAA
rnacentral:lncRNA from 1 species